UCCACGAAAAAAUGAAACUUUGAUAGCCUGUAGAGUUUCGGGCGCUGAGUCGAAUGGUCUUGGUCCGAAGUCUCUACGACGAAGCGUUCUUGAGAUAUUUCACUUUGAAAUUGCAAAAACGGGGGCCGCGCCCUGACGUCAUGCGGCCAUUUGGUUACAUCAUCACGGGCUGCCUACGUCAUUGUGGCAAAGUCGUUUCUCUUCGCCAGUCUACAAGCACUAAUUUUAGUUGGUAUUUCAAGGGAAGAUGGGCGAUUCCGAACAAUCCUCUGUCCCCAGCUAUGAAGUCAGCGAUGCUGAGGCCAGUGAGGACGACCAACAGCCCACCGCCGCGUAUGGUUGGGGCAGGGAGCCCAGAUACUCUGCUGAGGAGCUGCCAUCGCGUGGAACAAAUGUGGAGGAAGAAGAUGCGUCAGCAGCUGCGUCCGACAGAAGACGAGUAGCUUGGCCACCAGAAUCUCGAUUCGUUUGGGACUCCGACUGGUGCGAGCGUGGACAAAAGUGUAUAGCCAUGCCCAGCCCGCGGGAAUGAUUUUGCUGGUAGGAUGCUGCCGUCGCUGUCGACAAGACGGCCCAAGGUUUCUUGCGUAGCGGACCUCGCAGAUUACGAGAUCGUAUCCUUGCAUUAGGCUGUGCUCAUCACUGCUCUUCGAGGUUAUCUCGACAUGCAGAAGCCGCCAAUGCCAGUGACAGAAGAGUCUGACAUUAGAUCUCUACGCUAUGCGGCACACAGGCAGCACACACUAUGUACACGGCAAAUUGGGCAAGCACGUUCGUUGUCGUCUUCCAGCCUGCGUUGUGAAUACCAUCAGGCAAAGAUAUCCAAAUCCUGCACCACCUCAGCCUUCUCAGGAGGCUUCCACCUGGAAUUUGGCAGGGAAACACGCUUCUCCAAGGCAGGAACAUGGAGGUUGCCAUUUGCAACCGCUACCACUUCACACAUGAGCUUGUCAACAUACUCAUAGCUCUUUCUGUCGUAUAAUUUUCUAUUUGGCCACAGUCUUCUUUAUGCUUUGAGAACUGGACUUUAUACCUUCC